rnacentral:lncRNA from 1 species
UGUGUGGGCCCGGAUGUGUGGGUCAGGAUAUGUGGGUCAGUGGGGCCGUGUGGGUCAGUCUGUGUGGGUCAGGAUGUGUGGGUCAGUGUGGCUGUGUGGGUCAGGCUGUGUGGGUCAGGCCAUGUGGGUCAGGAUGUGUGGGUCAGUGGGGCUGUGUGGGUCCGGAUGUGUGGGUCAGGAUGUGUGGGUCAGGAUAUGUGGGUCCGGAUGUGUGGGUCAGUGUGGCUGUGUGGGUCAGUGGGGCUGUGUGGGUCCGGAUGUGUGGGUCCGGAUGUGUGGGUC